rnacentral:lncRNA from 1 species
GUCGGUUGAGGAGUUUAAGUUCUUGAACUCUUCGUAUGCGCCGGUCUUGAGGCAGCUAGAGUCUGCUAAGUUGCAGAAGUUUUACUUUGAGAACCAGGCGGAGAACGCGACUAGAGAUGAACAUAACAUCAAGUUCAAGAACCCCAAGUAUCUCUCGGUGUUGAACCAUCUGAGAUUCUACUUACCGGAGAUGUAUCCGAAGCUGAAUAAGAUCUUGUUCUUGGACGAUGAUGUUGUGGUGCAGAAGGACGUGACUGGGUUGUGGAAGAUUAAUUUAGAUGGGAAGGUGAAUGGAGCUGUUGAGACGUGCUUUGGCUCUUUUCAUCGAUAUGGUCAAUACCUAAACUUCACUCAUCCUCUGAUCAAAGAGAGCUUUAAUUAGAGUCUGCUAAGUUGCAGAAGUUUUACUUUGAGAACCAGGCGGAGAACUCGACUAGAGAUGAACAUAACAUCAAGUUCAAGAACCCCAAGUAUCUCUCGGUGUUGAACCAUCUGAGAUUCUACUUACCGGAGAUGUAUCCGAAGCUGAAUAAGAUCUUGUUCUUGGACGAUGAUGUUGUGGUGCAGAAGGACGUGACUGGGUUGUGGAAGAUUAAUUUAGAUGGGAAGGUGAAUGGAGCUGUUGAGACGUGCUUUGGCUCUUUUCAUCGAUAUGGUCAAUACCUAAACUUCACUCAUCCUCUGAUCAAAGAGAGCUUUAACCCCAAUGCUUGUGCUUGGGCCUUUGGGAUGAAUAUAUUUGAUCUCAAUGCUUGGAGGCGUGAGAAAUGCACUGAUCAAUACCAUUACUGGCAGAACUUGGUAAGUCCGUAUCUUUUCUUUGUAACUUAUGCAUAUCAAAUAAUCUCUUUAUCUUGUGUUGAUUGUGUGUUAAUCUCUCUUGAGCAGAAUGAAGACAGAAGUCUCUGGAAAUUAGGCACUCUGCCUCCGGGACUGAUGACAUUCUAUUCAAAGACGAAAUCACUGGACAAGUCAUGGCAUGUGCUUGGGUUAGGCUACAACCCAGGAGUGAGCAUGGACGAGAUUAAAAAAGCAGCAGUGAUACAUUACAAUGGAAACAUGAAACCAUGGCUCGACAUUGCUAUGAACCAAUACAAGUCUCUCUGGACUAAAUACGUCGACAACGAAAUGGAGUUUGUGCAGAUGUGCAAUUUUGGUCUUUAAAGAAAGAUAUCGAUGAAGAGGUAACCUCAAAUCGAUAUGUGUUCAGUCAUUCAGGGCAUUCUUUAGCUUAUAUACGUUUAUCUUUUACUAGGGAUUGGUCCGCCCUACGGGCGGGUAAGUUUACAAUAAAAUUCUUUAUAUUAAAAUAUAUUUUAAUUUUAUAAAACAUUUAAAAAUUAUUUUAAGUAUAAUUUGUUUUCUAAGAUCAUAUUGUAAAUUUCAUUUGUUAAACGUUAAACAACUGUUAUAAAUUUUCUUCUAAUAUCAUACCUUAUUUGUUAUUUGAGUUUCUAAGAAAAUGUAAAUUGGUAGUGCAUUAGGUUUGCAUUUGGAAUUGAUAUGUGUGAUACUGAUUUUAGUUUUUUUAAAAUGUUGUGUGUCAGGAAGUGUGAUUGCAUGAGGUCAUUUGGAUGAGGAAUUAAAUGUGAUGUGAGUGAGUUUGUAUGCUUCUGAAACUGAUUUAUAGUAUACAAUACCAGUAAAUUUGAUUUGUAUGAACAAUUUGAAUUGGAGAAGAAGUGUUCGGUUAAUAUAUUUCAAAACUUUAUGGGCUUUCAAGGAUUUUUGUGUUGUUGGUCGUUUAAGUUUGGAAUCCACACUCCAUUGAGUAACUGUUUUUUUUUUGCGCUUGGGAGCUCGUCAUCGUUUUGCUUGGAGUAUUUAUUUUUGCAAAACAGUUGAUAUUUAUACUUAUAUCAAGUGAUUCGUAAUAAAUUUAUGGUUAAACAUUUGGCCUCACAAUGUCUAUUUUAGUUAUUUCAAUCUCAUAGGAAUGAGUUUAUUUGUUUUAUACAACCAAUUCUCAUAGUUUAAUGUGAGUGACAUUCAUCCUACAUAAAAGUUGAAUAGGAGUAGUGUGUACUUUGUUUAAUCAUUUAUAAUCAGUUGGUAUAUUUUCUCUUUUUCAUAGUGGGAUGAUUGGUUUAAAGAACUUUAAUGGCAAAAAAGGAACCUUAAUGGCAAUCUGAAUUACGUUGGUUGAAUGAUGAUCUAAGGCAUAGCAAAGUCGGAUUUAGAAAGGUGGUAAAAUCAAGAUUUAGCCAUAGGUCAAUGAAAAUGUUAAACCGAUGGAGGCAUUAGUAGGAAAGCAAUGGUUUGUCAGCUCGAUCAGUUGGUCUAAAUGUUAAAUUAGUAACGCCAAUUAAAACCAAAGAUUCCAAUAGGAAAACUUGAAAAAACUUGUGAAAUGGAAGGUUUUGAACACGAAUGGGUUCAUUUAGUAUAUUGAUAUGUUUGUGAUUUUAAUGUUUUUAUUUGUGUGUUCCUCGGUUAAUUUAUUCUCAAAUGUUUUUAUAUGCUUAUUUGAUGAUAAGUGAUUUUUUUUAUAACAUGAUUAAGAUUAGCAAUUUUGUGAUAAGUUAACUAUCACAUUAUGUGUCAUGUUUUACAAUUAUAUUUAUUCAUAUUUUGGUUUCCUAAUAUUAUAAUUAUUAUUUUUAUAGGUAUUUUAACGGCUAAUGACUAAUUUUUUAGUUGUUGAUUUAUAUUUGUAAUAGUAAUUAAAAAUUCUAAAUUAUUGUUCUGCUUUAUUUUACUUAACUUUGCUUUCAAUUAAUAUUUAUUUUAUUAAUUGUGUUUUUACAGUCUUAAUAUUGUUUUUUUUUGGAAUUACCAUUUUCAUUAUAAAUUAAAAGGUUUUGGUUCAGUAUAUUUAUGUAUUAGUAUAGCUUUUUCGUUUCUAGAUUGAAGAGAAAAAACAAUGAAAAUAUUUGAAGUUUAAUAGAAUUUCAAAUUAAAUGUUAUAUAAAUUAUAUAAAUAUUUGAUACACGUCAUUUUAUAUUUAUUAUUUUAGUUUUUAUUUAGAUUUGUAACAAUUUAUGUAACUGGAAUUUUUAUCACAAAUAUACAAUUUAAUUGUCCCAGCAUAUCUUUACAUUUUAAUCAAUAUGUUUAAUUAAUGUUAUUUCAUAUUCGUUUGAUUGUAAUUUCGAUAUUGGUCAUCAUGUUUGUUACGGUUAGUAUAGCACAUCAAAAUUGUGAGAAUCUGAGAACCUGUUUUUGUAAGCUUCCACUCUUUGGCUCAACAGCCCCAUAGUAUGGAAUCGAAACCUGUUUGGGCACUUAUACAACCAAUUUGAGCAUGGAAGAGUGUGAUUCUUGUCGUGUCUAAAACUUGUGAGCAGAAGUUGGGUUACGGAACUAAAGACGAUAAGUGAUAAUCGUAGGAAUUUUCUUUAUUGUUAGGAUAAUUUCAAGACAGAGGAGAUGAUUUCAGGGUGCCCAAAUACAAAGUAAAGAUAAUCUUAUUCAAGAGUUGUGUUAUAAAGUCUUGUGUGCCUUCUUUGAUGGGACCCUCUGGCGCAGGAAACAGAGCUUCUCCAGCAGUGUUUCCGCUCAAUACAUUAGGUACUCCAGGUGAUGUGUCCGUAUCACUUCGUUCGUCCGCCGGUCGGUUAUGCUUCUGGAGGUGUUCUCGGACCCAUGGAGUCAGAGCCAUUGCAGAAGAUACACGUAGAUACUCUAUUUUUAUGCACCUCCACAAUUAUCAGAACUGGAUGAUCAGUUGACGUCACUCCCACGCAAUCUGCAGUUGAGAACGUGUAAGAUUCUUGAGAAAGUGUGUAGGAGGGAAGUGAUACAAACAUCCUGUUGUUCAAGAUUCUUACUCUUGGAAGAAGCUCUAGCCAGAGCCGCUUUCAUUGUUAAAGUAGAAAUGAGUGUCAGAUGUUGUAUUAAGGAAUAGUCGACCUGCAAGCAGAACUAAGUAAGCUCCAUAAGAUGUUCUGAAUCAGAACUUCUGAUGCACAAAGUGAAUGCACAGACUCUGUGAUCUUGACGAUCUGGGUAAGUUAGGUGUAGAUCGCAACUGUUGAGUCUGAAAAUCUGAAGUGAUUGUUGAUUCUGUAAGACUAUGUAGCAAAUUUUGAAUAAGCUAGUUGUGGAGUUCAUUCACAGAGUGCUCUCGCUCCUUAGUUGUGGCAGCUUUAGUGUUUGCUUCCUCGAUAUUCGUAGAAGUUUAAAAAAAAAAUGAAAGAAUACAAAAAUAAAUAGUUGAUAAGCUGUAUAGCAGUGAUUUUCAAAAUAGUGUGGGCAUAAAAAUGAAAAUUUGGAUAUAUUAGUCGACACAUACUCUAGUGAAAGACAUUACCUUGUUACAAUAUGCAAUCUCCAACUGUUUAAUGUUUCUGGCCUCUAAGCACACACCAGUUAUCUCCAUUCCAGUACACGGGGAAACAAUGCCUCCUCACCAAGUUCAACAUGUCAGAAACAUAGAUUGGAUAUAAGCACUCUAAAGGUUAAACAUGUUAACAUUUUAAAACACUGCAGAGAACAAUGGUACCUCAUAUAGACGACUCUAAACAGGUGCACCAGCUAUCCCCUCUUGUAGAAGACGCAAAAUCUUCUGAAAGAGUUUUAAUUGAUUGCUUAUUCGAGUUACUUUUAAGGAAUGGAAGUAAACCUGGUGAUCGGCGGUGGGACUGUCUAGUGGAGAUGAUGCGAGCGCCGAUGUUGUCCUGUCGAAUCUGCUGCGCUGAACCAGUUCCUGUUGUUUUAAAUCACAUUAAUCAGACCAAAUAUUAUGCGAGUAUAUUCAUUCUUCAAUUAAUUAUUGAGUGGCAAAAUUAAAAAUGAAAUAAUCAAUUGUUACAAAAUGGACAGAAACUUUAUGUUUGUUUAAUUUUUUUAAAAAUUUUGUGCAGUUAAGUGUUAGUUGAUAAUAAUUUUACGCAAACAAUACUUUUAAGUAUUUAAGCUGCUGGUUUCAAAUACUUUGGUAAUAAAAUGUUAAUGUCCUAAAGUAUAAGGGUGAGACUGGGGUUUUAAUAAUAUUGAGAGUUUAUAUCUACACUAUAAAUUAGUAAUUGUUUAUUAAACCAAUGAUUAAUGACAUUAACGUGUCUUCUUCACUAAAAUGUCUUGAGAUCUCUAUCCAUCCCAUCACUCUCCAGAGGCUAAUUCACACUCUAUCGGGCAAGCAAGAACCUCAUCCCCAUCUGAACUUUUUUUUUUUUAAACUGACUUAUAAAAGGUAAAGCUAAAUGGCGGUGGCCUUCCAUGGAGGCCGGAACGGCGUCGGAUCGGGACUCCGCAGUUUCUUCUCGUACCGGAUCUUCAUCUCCGCCUUGUUCUCUUUCCUCUUCCUCGCCACCUUCUCCGUUGUCCUCAACUCCUCUCGUCACCAACCUCAUCUCGAUCACGUAAGCUUCCGAUUCGUUUCACAAUCCGAAUCAAAAUUUAGAAAUGAAUUUAGAAUCUGAGCUUCGAUUUUUGGUGUUUAGACAUUGCCGAGGACGUUUCAAUCGGAUCCGUUGAAAGCUAGGUUAGAUCUGAUCCACAAGCAAGCCACCGAUCACCUCACGCUUGUGAACGCUUACGCUGCUUACGCUAGGAAGCUCAAGCUCGACGCGUCGAAGCAGCUGAAGCUCUUCGAAGAUCUGGCGGUUAACUUCUCCGAUCUGCAGGCCAAACCUGGACUGAAGCUCGAAAACGGGAACGCGAUCGAGGAGGAUGCGUUUCGGCAGAUCGAGAAAGAGGUUAAAGAUAAGGUGAAGACCGCGAGGAUGAUGAUCGUUGAGUCCAAAGAGAGUUACGAUACACAGCUCAAGAUCCAGAAGCUCAAGGAUACGAUCUUCGCUGUUCAAGAACAGUUGACGAAAGCUAAGAAAAACGGCGCCGUUGCGAGCUUGAUCUCGGCUAAGUCGGUUCCCAAGAGUCUUAACUGUUUGGCUAUGAGGCUUGUUGGUGAGAGGAUCUCUAACCCUGAGAAGUAUAAGGAUGCUCCGUUUGAUUCGGCUGUGUUGGAGGAUCCGAGUCUUUAUCACUACGCGGUUUUCUCUGAUAAUGUGAUUGCUGUUUCCGUUGUGGUGAGGUCGGUUGUGGUGAACGCUGAGGAGCCGUGGAAGCAUGUGUUUCAUGUGGUGACUGAUAGGAUGAAUCUCGCCGCUAUGAAGGUUUGGUUUAAGAUGCGUCCUUUGGACCGUGGUGCUCGUGUUGAGAUUAAGUCGGUUGAGGAGUUUAAGUUCUUGAACUCUUCGUAUGCGCCGGUCUUGAGGCAGUUAGAGUCUGCUAAGUUGCAGAAGUUUUACUUUGAGAACCAGGCGGAGAACUCGACUAGAGAUGAACAUAACAUCAAGUUCAAGAACCCCAAGUAUCUCUCGGUGUUGAACCAUCUGAGAUUCUACUUACCGGAGAUGUAUCCGAAGCUGAAUAAGAUCUUGUUCUUGGACGAUGAUGUUGUGGUGCAG